UACAGAGGGUGCAAGCGUUAAUCGGAAUUACUGGGCGUAAAGCGCGCGUAGGCGGCUGAUUAAGUCGGAUGUGAAAUCCCCCGGGCUCAACCUGGGAACUGCAUACGAUACUGAUCGGCUAGAGUAUGAGAGAGGGAGGUAGAAUUCCACGUGUAGCGGUGAAAUGCGUAGAUAUGUGGAGGAAUACCGGUGGCGAAGGCGGCCUCCUGGCUUAAUACUGACGCUGAGGUGCGAAAAGCGUGGGGGAGCAAAACAGG
rnacentral:rRNA from 1 species